UGGGGAAUUUUGGACAAUGGGCGCAAGCCUGAUCCAGCCAUGCCGCGUGAGUGAAGAAGGCCUUCGGGUUGUAAAGCUCUUUCGGCCGGGAAGAAAUCGUGUUCUCUAACAUAGGACACGGAUGACGGUACCGGACUAAGAAGCACCGGCUAACUACGUGCCAGCAGCCGCGGUAAUACGUAGGGUGCGAGCGUUAAUCGGAAUUACUGGGCGUAAAGCGUGCGCAGGCGGUUUUGUAAGACAGAUGUGAAAUCCCCGGGCUUAACCUGGGAACUGCGUUUGUGACUGCAAGGCUGGAGUACGGCAGAGGGGGGUGGAAUUCCACGUGUAGCAGUGAAAUGCGUAGAGAUGUGGAGGAACACCGAUGGCGAAGGCAGCCCCCUGGGCCUGUACUGACGCUCAUGCACGAAAGCGUGGGGAGCAAACA
rnacentral:rRNA from 1 species